CCUAAGUCCCUUUCCUCUUUGAAAUUGCUGCCCCACCUCCAUCGUAUCUCCGCCGCCCGAAAAUCGUCUCACGGUGGCGGAGCAACUCCAAACGCCUCCAAACUUUAACCAUCCAAUCCCUAUCCUCCCCUCGUGAUUUGCCCAAAAUAUCACUCAAUUUCUCCGAAUUGUAGAUCCAAAAUAAAAAUUCAAACUUUCUUCUUUUUGCCUAAAUUUUUCGGAUUAAAUCCUCAAUUCAUGUUGAAACCCACAUGAAUCCCCCAGUUCUCCAAUAAAGGAAGUCUUUUUUAAUGUUGAGAUUGUCCUAUCUCACAGAUUGACCGGAUUUCGGGCAAGUAGUCUGUGAAUGAUUCGAACCCUCUAAUCUUUUGCCUCGUUUGACCUUGGCCUUGAGGUGGUGAUUAUUGCGUGAAGUAUUAACCAUGUACGAGAGUCCGACCAAUGUUCAUGAUAUAAAUAUUUUGCCUAGUUUGUUCCGUCUGAAUUCGAAUCAAGGCCAUGUUUGUUACUCUCUGGAGGUAUUGGAGAUUGUUCAAUUCCAUUUGUAUGAUUCUCCUCCCUUUUUCUUCACAUUCAUCUAUUGGGGAUUCCCUUUUCUGUCUACAAAAGUAAUUAGUAUCAUUUUAGGGCUUAUUUAUUCAAUUAGUGAUUAAUAACUGAUUAAAUAGAUUUAUUUGUUGUCAUUAAUAUAGACGUUUUUAGAAGCAUCAUGAGUUUUGUCAAUUAAUUACUAUUCUCUUAUUUGUAUAAGCUUUUAUUCUUUUUUUUGGGUUUGGUUUCUUGUUGAUUUCUGCCAGCACGAAAAAGGGCCCAAGUUAAACAUUGGUCUUAAGCCCUAUAUGUUGCAGGUACGGUGCUAUUCGUAAAAGGGAUAGCAAAUCUUAUUAUAAAAAUUGUGUAUGGUUUGGUAUUUAUUCGUUUAUAUCAUGUUUUGUUUACAAAAAUUAUACCAAACCAAAAAUAAAUAGAUUCUACCCUAAAAAGGCUCCAAAUUUGUAGGAAUUACAUUUAAUGGUGAUUCUAUCACCAUUAAUUUCGAAAUUUAAAACGGAAGAAAAUCUAUUGCAGAGUGAUUCUCUCCUUCUCCAUAUAUUUUCCACCAUUGAUAGCCAUUAAAAAGCUUGAAAGCUUUGAAUUCAAAUUUGGAAUUUCAAAAAUCAUUAUUUGUUUGGAUUGGGUGUUGCUGUAAAUAAUUCGAAAUAUGUUUUGGAGUUUAUAUCUCAAUUUUGAGGGGUUUUGGUGAAGAUUAGACUUGGUUUUGACUGAUUUUCAAAUCGAAACUCGUCGAAGAAUAUGAAGACAUAUUUUUCCAGCGAUUGUAGUUAAAUUGUAGUUCAAUUGUAGUUAAAUUGUAAAAUUGUAGAUAAAUUGUAGAUAAAAUAUAGAUGAAUUGUAGAUAAGGAGCAAUUGUAGUUACAUUGUAGUUCAAUUGUAGUUAAAUUGUAGUUAAAUUAUAGAGUUGUAUAUAAAUUGUAGAUAAAAUAUAGAUAAGUUGUAGAUAAAUUGUAUAUUGGGAAGACUAAAACUUCUACAAGUCUUCUACAAUUAUGUCGAAAAUGCCAAUUAUGCUACAAUUGAAAAUCCCUUGGAUUGCGUGUUGUUGUAAAUAAUUUGAAAUAUAUUUAGAAGUUUAUAUCUCAAUUUUGAGGGGUUUUGGUGAAGAUUAGACUUGGUUUUGAUUGAAUUUCAGAUUGAAACUCGUUGACGAAGAAGAAGACAUAUUU
rnacentral:lncRNA from 1 species